rnacentral:rRNA from 1 species
AGCAGCCGCGGUAAUUCCAGCUCCAAUAGCGUAUAUUAAAGUUGUUGCAGUUAAAAAGCUCGUAGUUGAAUUUCGGGAUCAAUAUGUUGGUCGUGCCUCGGUACGUACUAGCUUAUUGGUUUCUCCUUUCUGAAGAACCAUGAUGUCAUUUAUUUGGUGUCGUGGGGAAUCAGGACUGUUACUUUGAAAAAUUAGAGUGUUUAAAGCAGGCUCACGCUUGAAUACAUUAGCAUGGAAUAAUGAAAUAGGACGUUUGAUUCUAUUUUGUUGGUUUUUAGGAUCGACGUAAUGAUUAAUAGGGAUAGUUGGGGGCAUUAGUAUUCAAUCGUCAGAGGUGAAAUUCUUGGAUUUAUUGAAGACUAACUACUGCGAAAGCAUUUGCCAAGGAUGUUUUCAUUAAUCAAGAACGAAAGUUAGGGGAUCGAAGACGAUCAGAUACCGUCGUAGUCUUAACCAUAAACUAUGCCGACUAGGGAUCGGAUGAUGUUAAUUUUUAAUGACUCAUU